UUAAGCAUAUCAAUAAGCGGAGGAAAAGAAACCAACAGGGAUUGCCUUAGUAACGGCGAGUGAAGCGGCAAAAGCUCAAAUUUGAAAUCUGGCGUCUUUGGCGUCCGAGUUGUAAUUUGAAGAAGGUAUCUUUGAGGUUGGCCCUUGCAUAAGUUCCUUGGAACAGGACGUCAUAGAGGGUGAGAAUCCCGUUUAUGGUGAGGUGCCCAACUUCUUGUAAAGUGCUUUCGAAGAGUCGAGUUGUUUGGGAAUGCAGCUCUAAGUGGGUGGUAAAUUCCAUCUAAAGCUAAAUAUUGGCGAGAGACCGAUAGCGAACAAGUACAGUGAUGGAAAGAUGAAAAGAACUUUGAAAAGAGAGUGAAAAAGUACGUGAAAUUGUUGAAAGGGAAGGGCAUGAGAUCAGACUUGGUAUUCAGUGAUCAACUUUCUUUCGGGAUUGUGCACUCGCUGUUUACUGGGCCAAUAUCAGUUUUGGCGGUAGGAUAAUGGCAUUGGAAUGUGGCUCCUCGGAGUGUUAUAGCCUUUGUUGAUACUACCUGCUGGGACUGAGGACAGCGCUUU
rnacentral:rRNA from 1 species